rnacentral:rRNA from 1 species
UAUCUCUGUAGAGUCUGCAUAUCAAUAAGCGGAGGAAAAGAAACUAACUAGGAUUCCCUUAGUAACGGCGAGUGAAGCGGGAAGAGCUCAAAUUUGAAAUCUUCAAGGUUCUACCUUGACGAAUUGUAGUUUAAAGAAGUGUUUUCUGUUGGAGUUUUGGUAAAAGUUCUUUGGAAUAGGACAUCAUAGAGGGUGAGAAUCCCGUAUUUGACCAUUUCUUCCAGCUGUGUGAUACACUUUCAAAGAGUCGGAUUGUUUGGGAAUGCAGUCCAAAAUGGGUGGUAAAUUUCAUCUAAAGCUAAAUAUUGGCGAGAGACCGAUAGCGAACAAGUACCGUGAGGGAAAGAUGAAAAGAACUUUGAAAAGAGAGUUAAACAGUACGUGAAAUUGUCAAAAGGGAAGCGUUUGACACCAGUGUUGUUUUCUCGAAAAUCAAUUAAAAAUGGCCGGGAUUUUGUGUUGUAUUGACUUUAUCAGCUUUCUGCACUUCUUUCUUGUCUUUUUUAAUGCACUUUUCGUUUAACAAGUCAACAUCAAUUUCUUUUGUUGUAAAAGAGUCAUUGGAAGGUGGCUUUCACUUCGGUGAAAGUGUUUAUAGCCUUUGACUUCUGCAAUCGGAGAGAUUGAGGUCUGCAGCGUAGAUCCUUCGGGGUUAGAUACAUUUGUGCUAAGUUAUAGUUUUUCAUAGACAACAUGUUGACUAUGAUUAAUCAUGUAGCUUACUCGCUUAUGCUAUUUUACCUACGCUUAGGAUGUUGAACGCGCACAGAGUCUC